UCAGGGUGUCAGCAGGUCCCGGCAUUCUCAGGCUAUGAAGGAGAAUCUGUUCUUGGCUUUGUUCCUUCCUGGAGGCUGUUGGGCCAUCUUUGAUGUCUUUGCCGUCACCUUCACGUGUGUUCUCUUCAUGCAUACGUUUGCUUUUGUGUCCAUGCUUCCCGAUUUAUAAGCAUGCAAGUGAUAUUGGACCAGAAUUCACUCUAAUGACUUCAUUUGAUUUUGAUUACUUGUAAAAAUUCCAUUUUCAGAUAAGAGCACAUUCACAGGAACUAGUGUUUAGGACACCAUCUGAGAAGAUAAAAUGUAUGAAUAGGUAACGUUUCUGAAGAAGUAUAUCUGAAAGUUCUUUAAUAGUGGUUUUAUAUAUAAGUGUGAAGUUUAUUAAAAUACUGGGAUAAUUAUGAGUGUAUGCCAAUAGAUGAGUCAUGUCUAAAUAUUUGUUUUUGAGACAGGACUUGUUUAGUCUUACAAAAAAUAUAUACAUACAUAGUUUAAUGAAAGAUUUUCUAUGUGGACUGACAAGAGCCAUAAACUAACCAAGGCCUUAACGCCAGGUAUGAGAACCUAUUUUUGAAUUCUUGGCUGCUGUUGUCCAAGAGACUUCCAAAACAUUUUGGGUUAUUUAUGUUGCUAUUGGUUACCCCAAAGGUGGACAUUGAUAAGUCCCAUGAAGACAUCAAGCACUUCAGACAGAGGACCAGAGGAUUUGAACUAUAUGCAACCUGAAAGCCUCAUUCCUGAGGACCACCUUGCAUAGUAUGAGAAAGUGCCACAUGUACUUCCAAAGGAGAGAAGAAGCAACAGUCCUUCCUAGACCCAGCUGUACAUCCUGUGCACUGCAACAAUGACCAGAAUGGCAAGCGUGCCCUAUGGGUAUGGUACUGAUACACAUUCCUUGUUGGUGGCCAUGCGAUGGCAUCAUAGGUUGCUGCAGAUGGUUUCAAUGGUUCUGUUGGAUGUUCUUCAUCUGUGCCUGCAAAAGGAGCCCAAGACUUUAUGUAUGGCCAUUGCUAUGACCUAGUGUGAUGCUCUACUUUUCCGCUGAACUUUACUUGCUAGAGCUGAGGAGCUUGGCUAUAAUUUAGCCUUUUCUUUUUGUAUUUAGCUGUUGUUGAGGAAGGAGCUUUGGAAAUAGAAGUAACCAGGCAGCAGGUCCAUUUUCACUGUCGAAGGCAGCUGAAAACUCAUCCCUACUGAUGAGUAGAUUUCAGUACCAUAAACACUAGUCAGCCAGAGUGAAGGCUCUAUAACCACUGCUAUGAAUGAUGUUACUGCCAACUUGGAUGUAAAAGUCUUUUUGGGUGGUCCCAGGCUGAGAGUUUGUGGAGUUGAUCUCUCCAAGCAUCACCCAGCUUGUCUUCACAACAUUCAGCUCCUACCAGACCAUAGACGCCACUGGUCCUGAAUGCUUAUACUCUACCAGAACAAUAAAGAAGGGCAAUCCUUCAUGUUGAUGUAGUGCUCAAGAAGGUCCCGUGAAACCUGCAAGAAUUUCAACCCAGCAAGCAGGAAUUCCUUCUGUUUAAAAUGCUGGAUGAUUUCUCUCAUGAUCGAUCUACUGCUGGUCCCUAUCAGACUUGAUAGCAAUGAAGGUUCUCUCACUGUUAUUUACUCAUGGUCCACUUCAGAAGUCAGGUCUUUAACUUGAGCACUCACUUCCAGUUAGUUUCUGACACAUCUAGGAGAUUCUCUGACCCUCUUACUCUUAUUAUUUUCUUGCCUCCUCUCCUACAAUGUUAAUGUGCCUUGAGCUUUAAGUACAGGAGUAUUUGGUAGAUAUGUCCACUGGGACUAGGCUCCACAACUCUAAAGUUUGGUUGGUUGUGUCUUUCUGAAAUGGUCUCUGUCUGCUGCAAAGAGAAAUUUCCUUGAUGGGGUGAGAAAUAAAAUGGUCUCGGGUGUGAGGACAAAUGUUAAGAUUGUUUUUAGGUGGAGUCUCAGGGGAUACACAAAUCUCACCCAAGGGCAGGCCUCAUGCCCAACAUUAGAGCCUAACACAAAAUGAACUCAAUGUAUAUUUUGGACACACACACACACACACACACACACACACACACACAGGUCU